UACGUAGGGUGCAAGCGUUGUCCGGAAUUAUUGGGCGUAAAGGGCUCGUAGGCGGUCCAUCGCGUCGGGAGUGAAAAGCUGGGGCUUAACCCCAGUCCUGCUUUCGAUACGGGUGGACUAGAGGUAGGCAGGGGAGAACGGAAUUCCUGGUGUAGCGGUGAAAUGCGCAGAUAUCAGGAGGAACACCAAUGGCGAAGGCAGCUCGCUGGGACGGUACUGACGCUGAGACGCGAAAGCGUGGGGAGCAAACAGG
rnacentral:rRNA from 1 species